rnacentral:hammerhead_ribozyme from 1 species
AUCCGGCUGACGAGUCCCAAAUAGAACGAAACGCGCGUCAAACUGGAU